CAUCGACAGAUGAAUGGAUUAAGAAGACAUGGUACAUAUACACGAUGGAAUAUUACUCAGCCCAAGAAAAGAAUGAACUAAUGGCAUUUGCACCCACAUGGAUGCAACUAGAAAGUAUCAUACUAAGUGCAGUAAGUCAGAAAGAGAAAGACAAGAAAGACAAAUACCGUAAAAAUCACUUAUGUGUGGAAUCUAAAAUAUGGCACAAAUCAAUCUACAAAACAGAAACAGAUUCAUGGACAUAGAGAACGGACUUGUGGUUGCCAAGGGGGAGGGAGGAAGGAGUGGGAUGGGCUGGGAGUUUGGAGCUAGUAGAUGCCAACUAUUACAUUUAGAAAGGAUAAACAACAAGGCCCUACCGCAUCAUCAGGGAAUUCUAUCCAAUCUCCUGGGGAAGACUGUGAUGGAAAAGAAUAUUAAAAACCCCAUAUAUAUAUAUAUAUAUGGCUAAGUCACUUUGCUACACAGCAAAAAUUGGCACAACAAUGUAAAUCAACUAUACUUUCAUAAAAAUUUAAAACAAAAAUUUUAAUGUGAUGUCAUUCAAACUCUCGCGCUGUCUUAAGGAGAUGAGGAUCAUUAUUAGUGAAGACGAAACAGGGUCAGAAAGUCUAAAUGAACUGCCCAAGGGCUGGGGGUGGUAAGAGGAUGAGCCAAGAUGCGAAACCCACCCACCCAGCCACCCCCAAAACUAGAAACUUCUGCUACAUCACUUGACUUAGUGACGCUCUCACAGAACAGAGCUCUGCAUUCAGCAGGCGCUUCAUAGGAAGGGGAUUGCAGUCUCGUGGUGAUCCUGUCACCACACUUCAAAGGGAACAGUUUCUAUUUCCAGAGCCCACCUCGAUCCCGAGGGAGGGAGGUUUCUCCCCACCCCCUGCUCUGCCGUCAGGAUGUUCUUGUUUUUCCUCUGGGCCUAUGACUCAGCUCACAGCUCCAGAUGGCUUCCUACAUUUUCAGCCUUGUUGGCUGGGGUGCCCAGGCCCUGGUAGAGUAACCAAAACCGAAAACAUGCUGCAUCUAAGAAUGGAAACACUCGCCUCUCCGCCUUCCAAUAUGAAGACCACGGGGUCUACAACUCAUGGCGCUGGUCCCUCUAAGGCCUUCUCUUACACCGUGCAUCCUUCUAACCCCAAGAUCCCCACACUCCACCCCGGCGCAUCCUUGAUGCCUUGAAGAUGAUACCCAGAGGUGAACCCGGAGACCAGUAAAGGAGAGGGUCCUGUCACCCUCUGGGUAAAUUGACCUUAGGCAAUCAAGUGGGGACACCGAUAGUACCUGUCUCUGAGGAUUGUGGACUUAGGAUUGCAAGAUAAAAUACAGAACGUCCAGUGCUAUAGAUUUGAGUGCUCGUGGCUCACCAAAAUUCAUGUGCUGAAUCCUAAUGCCCCGGGCAAUGGUGGGGUCUUUGGGGGAUGCUUAGAUUAUGAGGUCAGAGGCUUCAGAAAUGGGGUGAGUCCUGAUAAAAGAGAUGCCCAGGAGCUCCUUUGUCCAUUCCACGUGAGGACACGGGGAGAAGGCGGCCAUCUGUGAACCAGUGCCUUGAUCUUGGACUUAGCCUCCAGAACUAUGAGAAAUAAAUGUUUGUUUUUAAGCCAUCUAGUCUAUACUAUUUUGUUAUAGCAGCUCUAAUACACUGAGACACCCAGCUAGAUUUGCCUUUCAGUGAUUUUUUUAAAGUAUGUUCCAAAUGAUGCAUUCACAUUUAACUGGGUGUCCUGUAACUUCAUUUGCUAAAUUUAGCCCGUCGACAUGGAGUAAGGAGUGAGGUAACAAAUGUGAAAGUGAUUUGCGGCCUGUCAAGUGCUGAACACUUAAUAUCUUUACCAUGUGUUGCAUACAUAUCAACCCUGGGGCCACCAGCUUGGCCUGGAGCAUAGACCAGGUGGUCUUGGAGUUCCUGUUGUAGCUCAGCAGGUUGAGAAACUGACAUAGCGUCUGUGAGAAUGCAGGUUCAAUCCCUGGCCUCGCUCAGUGGACUAAGGAUCUGAUAUUGCCACAAGCUUCAGCAGAGGUCGCAGAUGAGGCUCGGAUGUGAUAUUGCUGUGGCUGUGGCUGUGGCAUAGGUCAGCAGCUGCAGCUCCCAUUCGACCCUUAGCCCAGGAACUUCCAUAUGCCAUACCAUAAAAAUAAUUUAAAAAAAAAUUUUUUUUUAAAGAACAAGGUAGCCUUACCAUCAGGUGAUAGAAAAUUCACACCACCUCAGCCUGUGAAUUUGGAAACCUGGGUCUUAUUUGUCAGUUGACUAAUCUCUGGACAUUUCACCUCUAGGGCUUCAGCACUUCCAUCCUUAAUUCUUCCAGAGGUACCCAUACCUUUGCCUGUGGCUGACUGACUGCCACAUGUCCGCCCAGUCUCCUUCCGACUGUGUGGGUGAUGAUGAAACAGAGGGCACGGCUUAUGAGUGAAUUACGCAAUGAAGGACAGAACUGAACACUGCUCAAUACAGAAAAACAAAAGGAAGCAACGAGCCUACCCUUUAGAGGCUCUGCGUUUAUGAGGGCUUGGAGACUCUCCUCCCAUCAGAAUUCUGAGUGGAGGGAUUUUGUCAUCUGCCUUGUUUUCCCCUACUUAGAACAGGGCCUGGCCCAAGCAGAGUGGAAUAUUUGAUUACCUGAAACCAGUUUAGCUGGCUGCAUUCAGGGAAAAUAAUGUCAUAAUCUAUGGGGAAGGGUGAUGCCAGUCAACCUCCCUUCCUUGCUAAAGAGAUGAUAUUCAUGGCCCCAAGAUUUUUUAGAGCAACUUUUACCACCUCUCAAUGGAACCGCCCCCAAUCAGUGACCAGCUCAAGUAUCCAGUGACUCAGGCCCAAGGGCUGGGUUGCCUGGUCUGCGUUCUCCCAAACGCCCCAAAGAUUGGCCGCCAUGUUUGUUUGUUUGUUUGUUUUAAAUAGAUUUGCCAUUGGCUACCAAGACACUAAUGAAUGCCCAGUACCCAGUGGGUGUUUGGAUUCCACGACUAGCUGGCUCCACCAGUAAGGGAAGGGCAGGCUGACAUCAGGAACUUAGCAUUCAGAAAGCCGUCUUGGGAUUUGCCUCGUAGAAGCAACUCUCCAAAGGGGGGCCUGAUAUUGCUGGGGACUUGGGAGUGGCUCGCCGAUUCUUGCAGCUGCAUCUGGGUCCCCUUGCCUCAGUGUGGCCCUUCACUGAGCUCUACAUGAACUGUCACUAUGUCAGCAUUCUCCCCUAUAGUUCUCAAAGCUGCAUCCCUGUCACCUGCCUUAAUCUGGGCUUCCCCAUCUCCCCCAGGACUCUUGCUUCCAGACUUAACCUCCUCAAAUCCGUCUUCCCCACCAUGCCAGAGUGAUCCUUUCGCUAACCAACUGUCCACUGCAAUCAGCUUUUUCCAUGUGUUCCAUUCUAUACAAUUUAGGAAGCCUGAUGCUCUCCCUAACAUGUUUGUAAGGAUUUUUUGUGGGAGAUGAGAGGGAGGCAAGGGUUAUACUCCCAUGGCCAUUUCUGGCUUUGAAUACCUGCUUCCACUGAAUUAGCCCAGGAUGAGGAUUGAAUACCUUGUACAGGUACACACACACACACACACACACACAUCAGUGCCAUCUCAUCAUAUAUCACAUCAUCCAGAUGUGGCUUUGGCCCUAUCUCUAUUUUCCACCACCAAAACUCCAUACCAGUCAUUUUUGUGAGCAUCAGAGUUUUCCAAUUUUUUCUGGAUGAAGAAAUUUACAUGUCAGAGUUCCCGUUGUGGCUCAGCAGAAAUGAAUCUGACUAGUACCCAUGAGAACGCAAAUCCAAUCCCUGGCCUCACUUCGUGGGGCUUAGUGGGUUGAGGAUCCAGCGUUGCUGGAGGUCGCAGACACGGCUCAGAUCCAGCAUUGCUGUGGCUGAGGUGUAGGCCGGCGGCUACAGCUCUGAUUCAGCCUCUAACCUGGGAACCUCCACAUGCCUCAGAUGGGGCCCUAAGAAGACGAAAAAAAGAGAAAGAAAGAAGUUACAGCACCAGAGAUAAGGCUAACGAGGUGGAAUGGGAAGAUGGAGGAACGUGGGUUCUUGACAUCACUGAGUCGCCAUCCAGCCCUGGCCCACUUACCUCUUGGACAUCCUAUUGUAAGAAAUAAAUAAACUCCUAUAUACUAGGCUACGGCGAACCAGGUUUUCUGCUCCUUGCAGCAAAUACGAUCCCAUCUGAGGGGUUCCUCAUCCAGCACGGAACAUCCCUCUUCUCAAUAAUCUUCAGCCUCUUACCCUCUUUCUUUUUCUGCCUAGCAUUUCGUCCCUGGCUGAAGAUAUACUAUUUCUUCAUUGCUUACAGCUUCGCUUUUCCAUGACGAUGUUGGCUCCCAUGAGGAAGGAGUUGGUCUCGCUCCCAUGAUAUCCCUAGGGUCGAACACAGUACUUGGCAUGUAGUAGAUGCUGCAUACGCAGUUGUCAAAUAAAUGGGUUAAUAUACAUUUGAUCAUGUCCCUCCCUAUUUAGAGGAGAAAAUUCCAAACUACUCAGAUGAACAAUCAAGGCCACCAUUCUUGCUCCACCUGCCUGUCCCAAGCCACACUUUUUGCUGCCACCUCUGUCUGCACCCCCACUGAGCCUUUGCACGGGCUCCGUCUCUCUGCACGCACACAUUAUAGAACACCCACCUUACACCAGACCCUCUUGUAGGUCUAGGAUAUAACUCGAUGAACCAGACAGAGAGUCUCCAUCCCUGUGGAGGUCAGGCAGACACUGGCCAUGUCGCUAGAGUGUGGUCAAUCUUAAUAAAAGAGGGGAUACAGGAAUUAUGAGAGCUCCCCAUUCUCUAGGCAGCGAACUCCUAUUCAUUCUUCAAAGCCCAAUUCCAGCGUCCCCUGUUUUAGGAGGACUUUUCCACGUCUCUGGCCUGGGGUGGGUGCUUCUCGUGUCCCAAAGAUCCUUGCUAGACAUCCCAAGCCACACAACUCAGCCCACUCUGUUGUCUUGGCCACCUCUUGUGUGUCUCUCCAGCCAGUCUGUGAGCCCUAUUUUACUGAUUUCUGCAUCCCUAAGCUCCAGUGCAGGGCUUGGCCUGGAAGUUCAGUGACUGACCUGUCCCUUCCUUGUCAUUGAGUUAUUGAGUUCAGUGACUGACCUGUCCCUUCCUUGGCCUGACCGUCCUCCCAGCCCCAUUUGCCCUGACUCAGGUUUCAGGCUGUCUUGGUCUCUCCCUUCCACCCUCAGCUCCCCUGGCAUUUCUUUAUCUUGUCCUGAAAUAACCCUUCCUCUCCCGAGGGAAGCCAUGGAUUGAGGAAGCACCAACUUCCUCUUGGGCUGUCUAAGCAAGGCUUAGGUAAAAGGCCAAGAAAAGUCACCCUAACAAUGACUGAUUUUAUAUCUUUGUUUCCCUUUAUUCCUCUGGCUAAAUUUCCCUCCCCCUCCUUGUCUUGCAUUACCACCCAACUAUACUCUCUUCCUAGAAUGCACCAGAUUUCUCAUGCCUCUGCUCAUGCUGUUCCCGUCUGCCGGAAGUGCUGUUCCCCUACCACUCCAUCCUGAUGGAGAGCUGCCACACCCUUUGAGGCCCGGCUCAUCUGUUACCCCCUCGAUAUGGCUUCUCCCACGCCCCCUUCCCCAUCCACAAGCCAAAUGAAUGGCUCCCACGGUGCCCCACGCUUCCCUGGCUAUGGCCUCAGCCCACAACAUUUUGGUGGUUCGUUCACAUUACACUGACUCUCCGACAGUGAACUCCUCACCAGCUGGAUCACUGACAAGUCUGUACUCAGUCUCUCUUUGUCCUGCCAGUGCUCAUCCUGGGGCUUGGCACCCUGAGAAAGCACGUACAUGAUUGUGGCUGAGGUCUUGGGCAGAGGGUAAGAAGGAGCAGCCACCCCUUUGGGUAAUGGCCCUUUAGCUUGUCCCUGGGGAAUCAUCUUCCCCCUUCCCACCCAUCUGGUUUGGGUGGGACUGACCAAGACCCGGGACAGAGCACAUGACUCAAGGCAACGCACCCAGAGAGCACAGCUAACCUCAGUGAUUAUGCGGUGAUCGGUAGGCCACCCAAGCCCAGCCAACGAGAGCAGGGCAGCAAAAUGAAAGAUGAGUAUAGAAAUUGGGGGAAUGGAAAAUGAAGGCAGAAGAAAAAUGAUGCACCAUGAAGAAGAGGCAGUGCCCCCAGAAAGUGUCAAUGGAGUUCAGGAUAUUGGACAGUCUGGCUACACUCGUGGCUUUGUGCUCCCAAAGGACUGAAGUGCUCCUACCCUAAAAAUAUGCUAUCAUUGUGGGAAAAACAAGGUCUAUCUGGAGGUAAAUGAAGCAGGAUGAGGCUGUGAUCUAAGAGCAUAUGCACUUUGGAGUCAGACCAUCUGAGACUCAAUCUUAGCCCUGCUGCCUGCUAACCAUCCCUUAUCCCUCUGGCACUCGGUCUCUUCAUCAGGAAGAUGAGAAUAUCAAUUUGCGGGGUCACUGUAAUAAAUAGGAGGUGCGUGGAAGUAGCAGGUAUUCAACUACUACUGUGAUUGUCUUGUAAUUACUAGUUGAUCUGGUACAAUAACCCAGGGGAGAGAUGCCAAGGCCAAUGACGAGGCUUGAACUAGGACAUAGAGGGUGAGAACAGAGGGGAAGAAGAUAGAAUAAAUAUUACCCAGGUGCUGUUAGUCAGAAAUCUGUUGUUUGUAAAUGACAAAACCCCAACUUUAGAGCAUGGGUAAGCAAAGAGGAAAAUAUUAGUCUCCGCAGCGUUAAACAGUGAGAUACCUUUUGAGUGUCACAAAUGGCUGGAAGGCUGGGUGCCCUCCUGGCACCCUCUCUCAGGCCCACUUGUCUGUGGGGUGACCUCAUUCUUAGGCAACCGCCAUGCACGUGGAGGCUCCACUUGCUCCCAGAAGCUGGCAACCCCUGUAGAAAAAGUGAGUCUCAUUGUUGUGCUGCCACCAUGUUUCCAAGCUGGAGCCAGUCCUGGACAAGAGAAGCUUCUGAUUGGCUACGUCCCCCGGCAGUGUGGCCAGGGUGAGUGCUUGAGGGCAGGAGAGAAUCCAGUUUUACCCAGGCUGAGAGCCGGGGAAAGGGUCUCCGAGGAACACUGGGAUGCAGUCACCCAAAGAAAGGAAGGUAAACUAG
rnacentral:lncRNA from 1 species